rnacentral:RNase_MRP_RNA from 1 species
ACGCCACAGGAUGAAGUGAGCGGGCCUAACCAGCCCUGGAAAGUCCCCGGGCCCUCAUGCGCAGCGAUGCGCCCACGGAAACGUGGACGGCCCACGAGCUGGCUCUCCCUGCUUCGGUGGGGGGCAGAGACAAGUGUGGAGCCCAAUCACAGGGAGCCAGCUCUGGUCAAUUGGCUAAUCUCACAGUUAUUCACUUGGUCCUCUUGGACUAACAGAACGGGGCUUACACUCCCGUGGCA